CAGAGAAUAGUUUAAUGUAAAAUGUUAGUUUUGGAGAUUAACGAUAAGGGAGAUCCUUUUUCUCUGA
rnacentral:tRNA from 1 species